rnacentral:rRNA from 1 species
ACAUAACUGAUGCCUCCGCGUAUCGACUUUGUGCGCAUUUUAGCUAUUAUGUGUUCUUUUAAUUAAAAUGAUUCUUUUUAAGAUUCAUCUAUUAAAAACUUGCCUCGGCAUAAUUUUUUUUGAUGAUCUUGUUACUUUGAGUAAAUUAGAGUGUUCAAAGCAAACAGAUAUAGCAUUUGUGCGUUUGAAUACUACAGCAUGGAAUAACAAAAUUGAACAAGUCAGAAUUUUUUUGUUCUUUUUUCUUAUUUUGGCUUAGUUACGAUUAAUAGGAGUAGCUUGGGGGCAUUUGUAUUCAGAUGUCAGAGGUGAAAUUCUUAGAUUUUCUGGAGACAAACAACUGCGAAAGCAUUUGCCUAAAAUACUUCCAUUAAUCAAGAACGAAAGUUAAGGGAGUGAAGACGAUCAGAUACCGUCGUAAUCUUAACCAUAAACUAUGCCGACUAGGCUUUGGAUGAAAGAUUUUAAAAUAAGAGUUUUUCUUUUCUCUCCGGAGAUUAGAACUCUUAGAUUGCUUCCUUCAGUGCCUUAUGAGAAAUCAAAGUCUUUGGGUUCUGGGGCGAGUAUUCGCGCAAGCGAGAAAGUUAAAAGAAUUGACGGAAGGGCACCACCAGGCGUGGAGCUUGCGGCUUAAUUUGACUCAACACGGGAAAACUCACUAGUUUAAGACAAGAGUAGGAUUGACAGAUUAAUAGCUCUUUCUUGAUUUCUUGGAUGGUGAUGCAUGGCCGUUUUUAGUUCGUGAAUAUGAUUUGUCUGGUUAAUUCCGAUAACGAACGAGAUCUUAACCUGCUAAUUAGCGGCAAAUACGAUAUAUUCUUAUGUAGAAUUGAAUAUAGUGGAUUUGUUAGAUUUUGAAGAAAAUAUUGGAAUUACGUUAAAUGUGAUUCCUUUCCCUUUUCUACUUAAUUUACAUUUCCAUCUAUUUCUUUUUUGCGUAUGAAUGUAUUUGCUUGAUUGUAAAGCUUCUUAGAGGAACGAUGUGUG